rnacentral:rRNA from 1 species
AGUGAACGCUGGCGGUAGGCCUAACACAUGCAAGUCGAACGGCAGCACAGUAAGAGCUUGCUCUUACGGGUGGCGAGUGGCGGACGGGUGAGGAGUACAUCUGAAUCUACUUUUUCGUGGGGGAUAACGUAGGGAAACUUACGCUAAUACCGCAUACGACCUACGGGUGAAAGCAGGGGAUCUUCGGACCUUGCGCGAUUGAAUGAGCCGAUGUCGGAUUAGCUAGUUGGCGGGGUAAAGGCCCACCAAGGCGACGAUCCGUAGCUGGUCUGAGAGGAUGAUCAGCCACACUGGAACUGAGACACGGUCCAGACUCCUACGGGAGGCAGCAGUGGGGAAUAUUGGACAAUGGGCGCAAGCCUGAUCCAGCCAUACCGCGUGGGUGAAGAAGGCCUUCGGGUUGUAAAGCCCUUUUGUUGGGAAAGAAAAGCAGCAGGUUAAUACCCCGCUGUUCUGACGGUACCCAAAGAAUAAGCACCGGCUAACUUCGUG